rnacentral:rRNA from 1 species
UACGUAGGGGGCGAGCGUUAUCCGGAAUUACUGGGUGUAAAGGGCGUGUAGGCGGGAGCUUAAGUCUGAUGUGAAAUACCAAGGCUCAACUUUGGAACUGCAUCGGAAACUGGGCACCUAGAGUGCAGGAGAGGAAAGCGGAAUUCUCAGUGUAGCGGUGAAAUGCGUAGAUAUUGAGAGGAACACCGGUGGCGAAGGCGGCUUUCUGGACUGUAACUGACGCUGAGGCGCGAAAGCGUGGGUAG